UUACACCCAUGCAAGGGAACGUGAGGCGGGUUUAAACCGUCGUGAGACAAAUUAGUUUUACCCUACUAAAGACAAAACGUUGUUGCACAAGCAUUCCUGCGUAGUACGAGAGGAACCGCAGGUACGGACCAAUGGCACAAUACUGUUUCGAGCGAACAGUAGUAUGACGCUACGUCCGUUGGAUUAUGCCUGAACGCCUCUAAGGUCGUAUCCGUGCUGGACUGCAAUGAUAAAUAAGGGGCAAUUUGCAUUGUAUGGCUUCUAAACCAUUAAAAGUUUUUAAUUUGUUUUAUUAACGACAAUGGAUGUGAUGCCAAAUGUUAUUUAUAACAUAGUAAAUUGGGAGGAUCUUCGAUCACCUGAUGCCGCGUUAGUUAUAUUUUAAAACAUUAUUUAAUACAAUGUCAAAGCCUAGAAUCAAUUGUAAACGACUUUUGUAACAGGCAAGGUGUCGUAAGUGGUUGAGCAGCUGCCAUACUGCGAUCCACUGAAGCUUAUCCUUUGCUCGAUGAUUCGA
rnacentral:ncRNA from 1 species